AACGCACAUUGCGCCCGCCAGUAUUCUGGCGGGCAUGCCUGUUCGAGCGUCAUUUCAACCAUCAAGCCCCCGGGCUUGUGUUGGGGACCUGCGGCUGCCGCAGGCCCCGAAAACCAGUGGCGGGCUCGCUGUCACCCCGAGCGUAGUAGCUUACACCUCGCCCAGGGCGUGCCGCGGGUUCCCGGCCGUUAAACCCCCCACACCACAAGGUUGACCUCGGAUCAGGUAGGAAGACCCGCUGAACUUAA
rnacentral:misc_RNA from 1 species